rnacentral:tRNA from 1 species
GGUAAAAUGGCUGAGAUUAAGCAGUAAACUGUAAAUUUACUUACGAAAUAAAAAUUUCUUUUACCA